rnacentral:misc_RNA from 1 species
UUUUUUUUUUUUUUUUAGCAAAAGAUCAAAUUUAGUGAAUUAACUGUCUAUGAUAUUUUACGACAUUUUCUAGGAAGUCGGUAAGUGAACCAAAUAGAGCCAUUAAGGAAAGUGGUGAAUGUUCUAGGAAAAAUACGUAAGCCAAACAAUAAAAAUUAUUAUUUCCUAGCAAAUAAUUUCCCCAGCAAGUUGGCAACCAAGUUCCUAAGAGUUUGCAUAUUUGGAUCAAACAAGGCCUAAUUAUAUCUAAAAAUUGAUAAGAAUAAUCUUUAUUCAUCUUAUAUGAAGUUUAUAUUGAUAUGUGGCAGUAUAACAAACAAAAAGUCAUUACAUGAUAUGAAACAGGGCCAUUACUUGAAUUAUCAUUGCAAUGCUUCUUGUUUUUCAUAUAGGCAUGUCCAUUGAGUUUGGUUCCCAAAAAUUGAUUUUGAGUUGUACUAAGAUGUAUAUUGAAUUAUUUAUAUCUUUUUUGCCUAUUUCAUUCUUAGGAUCUUUGUGAUAAUAACAAUCUAGAAG